rnacentral:rRNA from 1 species
UCCGUAGGUGAACCUGCGGAGGGAUCAUUACUGAGUUUUUAACUCUCCAAACCAUGUGAACUUACCACUGUUGCCUCGGUGGUCGGUGCUGGAAACAGUGCUGCCACCGGUGGACUACUAAACUCUUGUUAAUUUUUGUCAAAUCUGAAUCAAACUAAGAAAUAAGUUAAAACUUUCAACAACGGAUCUCUUGGUUCUGGCAUCGAUGAAGAACGCAGCGAAAUGCGAUAAGUAAUGUGAAUUGCAGAAUUCAGUGAAUCAUCGAAUCUUUGAACGCACAUUGCGCCCGCCAGCACUCUGGCGGGCAUGCCUGUUCGAGCGUCAUUUCAACCAUCAGGCCCCCCGGGGGGCCUGUGCUGGGGCCCUGCGCUGCCCGCAGGCCCUGAAAACCAGUGGCGGGCUCGCUAGUCACACCGAGCGCAGUAGCACAUCUCGCUCAGGGCGUGCGGCGGGCUCCUGCCGUGAAACCCCCCCACUGUAACCCCAAAGGUUGACCUCGGAUCAGGUAGGAAUACCCGCUGAACUUAA